rnacentral:rRNA from 1 species
UGCAAGCCGAGCGGUAUGGAUCUUUCGGGAUCCAGAGAGCGGCGUACGGGUGCGGAACACGUGUGCAACCUGCCUUUAUCAGGGGGAUAGCCUUUCGAAAGGAAGAUUAAUACCCCAUAAUAUUUAGAAUGGCAUCAUUUUAAAUUGAAAACUCCGGUGGAUAGAGAUGGGCACGCGCAAGAUUAGAUAGUUGGUGAGGUAACGGCUCACCAAGUCUGCGAUCUUUAGGGGGCCUGAGAGGGUGAUCCCCCACACUGGUACUGAGACACGGACCAGACUCCUACGGGAGGCAGCAGUGAGGAAUAUUGGACAAUGGGUGCGAGCCUGAUCCAGCCAUCCCGCGUGAAGGACGACGGCCCUAUGGGUUGUAAACUUCUUUUGUAUAGGGAUAAACCUACCCUCGUGAGGGUAGCUGAAGGUACUAUACGAAUAAGCACCGGCUAACUCCGUGCCAGCAGCCGCGGUAAUACGGAGGGUGCAAGCGUUAUCCGGAUUUAUUGGGUUUAAAGGGUCCGUAGGCUGAUGUGUAAGUCAGUGGUGAAAUCUCACAGCUUAACUGUGAAACUGCCAUUGAUACUGCAUGUCUUGAGUGUUGUUGAAGUAGCUGGAAUAAGUAGUGUAGCGGUGAAAUGCAUAGAUAUUACUUAGAACACCCAUUGCGAAGGCAGGUUACUAAGCAACAACUGACGCUGAUGGACGAAAGCGUGGGGAGCGAACAGGAUUAGAUACCCUGGUAGUCCACGCCGUAAACGAUGCUAACUCGUUUUUGGGUUUUCGGAUUCAGAGACUAAGCGAAAGUGAUAAGUUAGCCACCUGGGGAGUACGAACGCAAGUUUGAAACUCAAAGGAAUUGACGGGGGCCCGCACAAGCGGUGGAUUAUGUGGUUUAAUUCGAUGAUACGCGAGGAACCUUACCAAGGCUUAAAUGGGAAAUGACAGGUUUAGAAAUAGACUUUUCUUCGGACAUUUUUCAAGGUGCUGCAUGGUUGUCGUCAGCUCGUGCCGUGAGGUGUUAGGUUAAGUCCUGCAACGAGCGCAACCCCUGUCACUAGUUGCCAUCAUUAAGUUGGGGACUCUAGUGAGACUGCCUACGCAAGUAGAGAGGAAGGUGGGGAUGACGUCAAAUCAUCACGGCCCUUACGCCUUGGGCCACACACGUAAUACAAUGGCCGGUACAGAGGGCAGCUACACAGUGAUGUGAUGCAAAUCUCGAAAGCCGGUCUCAGUUCGGAUUGGAGUCUGCAACUCGACUCUAUGAAGCUGGAAUCGCUAGUAAUCGCGCAUCAGCCAUGGCGCGGUGAAUACGUUCCCGGGCCUUGUACACACCGCCCGUCAAGCCAUGGAAGUCUGGGGUACCUGAAGUCGGUGACCGUAACAGGAGCUGC